rnacentral:rRNA from 1 species
GACGAACCGAGCGAACGUUGUUCGGAAUCACUGGGCUUAAAGGGCGCGUAGGCGGGCUGCCGCGUCCGGGGUGAAAUCCCACGGCUCAACCGUGGAACGGCCCCGGGUACGGGCGGCCUCGAGGAAGGUAGGGGCGUGCGGAACUGUGGGUGGAGCGGUGAAAUGCGUAGAGAUCGGAAAGAACACCAACGGCGAAAGCACUCUGCUGGGCCGACACUGACACUGAGAGACGAAAGCUAGGGGAGCGAAUGGG